UCCCCCCACAGUUCCUCGAGCCGUCGCGCCGGGGUGGCCCUUUAGCUCUUCGCACCUGCGCGCCAGGGGCGUGGGGGAGGGGAGAGCUCGGAGUGGCCGUCAACUUCACCUCCAGUGUGAAGCCCCUUGCGGGGCUCAAGCUCACCACCCUGAGAUCAAGAUCUGAGCUGAGAUCCAGAGCUAGACGUUCAAACAACAGCCACCCAGACACCCCUAAAAAUUCUAAUUCUGAAGGUAGUUGCUCAUUCGACCUUAUUGGGAACCAGUGAAUGAUAUAAUAAAGUAAUCAAGAUUUGAACAAUAAAUGCAAAAGCAAGAUUCAAACAGA